UCUGGGAACUGCAUCAUUAGAGCCUAGAGAUUGAAUGAAAAUCAGAGACUCAUUCAGAGGUUCAGAACAAGUAACUGGGAGGAUCAAGAUAAAAGGCCUGGCAUGAUCUAGUAUCUCGACCAGCUGACUGAUUCUUCCUGUCCAUGAAUUAUCCUGAGGAUCUUUUCAGGAAUAGAAUAAUAAUAUUGAUCUGGAAAUUUUGAAAGAACCUACAAUGGAAGCCAUUUGCACCACAUUCUUUUUUUUUGAGUAGUUUAUUAAAAUAUUUGUUGCUAAAAUGUACAGCUGAUAUUGGAAUACCACCAGAGCAGAACAUUGUUGACCAUCAUCCUAACUUUUUGUCUUUUAUGAGUAACAAAGAAGUAUAUUAGACUGAAACAAGGAUGUAGAGAGAGAAGUCAAAAGCUUGAGAGGGUCCGGUCAGCCACUGGAAUCGGUUAGUAGGCUCAUCUUGGUUAGAUGAAAAUGGGGUGCUUCAAGGUAGCCAUCUCGGUAUUGGGCCCUAUAUCGGUCCCACCCUAUUACUGCGUCUAUAUAUUUAGUACGGAGGCCGGUUUGGUGUAUCAUGUUAGUACGCCUCUCAUACCACAUAUCGGUAUGAUAUGGUAUGGUGUACCUUGGUGUACUUGAAUAAUUAGAAUUGCUAGAACAACUAAGGCCUAGUCAUUAAAGUAAAAUAUGCCUUAAUAUCUAUGUUAAUUAUAAGCUGAAUCUAUCUCAAAUGCUCUAAAUCCUAUUUGUUCUGCCAAUGCUUUACAUCUCUUACCAUACUAGGUCUGAACCUUUUUGGGCGGGUCCCAAUUUUGAGCGCGUACCAUGAAUAAUUGAAAGUUAGGAAGCUUAGAUAGUGAGCUACAUUUCAUGUAUGAAACAUUGCAACCUGCAAUUACACCUUAAUUAUGGUGAUGCACUUGGGUGGGUAUUUCUGCUGGUUUUUUUAUGUUUUAGUGGCUUGAGUCACUGUUUUGCCGGUGCUUCCUUUUGUUUCAUCAAUUCAUCUCUUCAAUGAAAUAUUGGGAUCCCCACCUUUGCUCAAGAUGA